GACGGCAAUGGACAAACCAAAGCGUAAAGGUGGAGCUGAAAAGCUCAGGGCCAAAAGGCUCAAAAAUCUAGCCGCAGACGCCGGAAAAUGUGCUAAAAUAACUGACAUGUUCAGUGGAGGUGCUUCGGGAGCCCCCUCCACCUCAGGUGAAUCAAGCACCACCAGCACCAGUGGACAGGGCGAGGAGGCUAGCUGUAGCGAUCCACCCAUGGAGACAGCACAGAUGGUGGAAGGGGGUGACGGUAGUAUUAGCCAUGAACAGGGAGGAGGAGAUGAUGAGUCCGAACCCGAGGCUCAUGGACUGAGUGAGCCGCUGCCGGUGCACCAGAGCUGAUUGGAACUGAAGAGCGCAGACAAGGCUAUGCACCAAGAGCUGAUUGGACUGAAGAGAGCAGAUAAGGCCAGUUCAUCGGCAGCUGCCAGGGGCUCUCUUCUCUCAACGUCCAGGUUUUCUGCCAGCUAUCAUGACAAAUUUAUAGAUUCAUUUUAAAUAAACAAUUGAGUGUGAAGUCACUGCACAUUUCCUGGUGUUUUUUUGGUACCUGAAAGAGAGUUUUUUUAGUUAAAUUGUGCACCUUUUCCACUAGGCCAGAACGUUUGUACAUUUAGAAGACAUAAGUUACGUCAAUUUAAUGGCAGAU